CCCAAGGUGCUUGACUCUGUGCUCCCUCCUUGCUCAGACUUCCUGGUCCCACUAAACUCAAUCCACUUCCCAUCCCACUUCCUGUGCUUCUUCUCUUUUCUCCAUCCAUUGCCACUUGGCAAGGGAAAAACAACACAUUUUUCUAUGAUUUCCUCACCAAUGCAAGAAGUUUAUGUGUAGCACACAUUUACUGAAGAUUGAAAUAACUUUUGAAAUAGUUUUACAAUGCCAAGCGGUACAGAAAACAGUUUAAAAUAAAGCAUUUCUCUUCUUCAAGCCUCUUCAAAAAAAAUAUGAAGUAAAUGUGGUGAAAGUUGAUGAAGUCUAACACUAGAUGGUUACAUAGGAUUAAUUAUUCCAUUUUUGCUAUUUUUAUUUAAGUUAUAAAGUUUUCAUAACAAGAGUUUUUUAAAAAAUACACUAGUCAUGGGGCCAUGGAAGCUAUCUUGCCGUCUGUAUGAGGGUAAAAGCAGAACUGCCGUGAUGAAGAGCCUUCAGAAUACAGAGACGACCGAUGUAGGCCUUUAUUUCAUUCUCGCAUUAUUUCGCUCUUGAGGUGAGUAGCCGGACGGAUGAGAUGACUCCACAUGGUCAUGCAGGGAUCCGAGCUCCUUCCAUCUUGUUUCACUGCUUUCCCCCAGGGCCUUACCCUCAACUGCACCGUCAGAGCUGGGCUGCAGGUAAGUCUGAGUUCCCAUUCACAGAUGAGACAGAGUGGAAAUGCAGGGCAGUCACAUUUCUUUCUAAGCAAGUGAACAGAAGUUGCAUACAUCACUUCCACUCACAUUCCAUAGUCCACGACCACCUGACCACCAAGGUGACUGGGAAAUGCAGCCUCUGGCUAGGUGGCCAUGUGUCCCGCUAAAGGCUAUUCUUCUGGAAGAAAGGAAAAGGCUUCUGGCGCACACCUAGCAGGCCCCACCACACUGUCUCCCUCCCUCCACAGGAUCCCCAGCUUCCCUCCAUGGGAUGGGGCUUCUGUGUUCCCUCAGCCGUGUCUUAUCCCAAACUUCUCAAUUUCUAUGUGAUACCUGUUUGUUAUGGGCUGAAUUUGUGUCCUCCCAAAAUUCCUAUGUUGAAGUCCUGAGCCCCACUACCUCACAAUGUGACUGUAUUUGGAGAUAGAGUCUUUUUUUAAGCAGUUUUACUGAGGUAUAAUUGAUAUACAAAAAAACCCUGCACAUAUUUAACGUAUAUAAGUUGAUGGGUUUGAAUAUAUGCAUAUGUAUGUGAAACCACUGUCACAAUCAAGGUAAUAAACCUGUCCAUCACUUCCAAAAAUGUCCGCCUUGUCCUCUCCUUUUGUGUGUGUGUGUGCUAAGAAUACUUAACUUGAGGACUGCCCUCUUAACUAAUUUCUCAGGGAACAUGACGAUAGUGUUAAUUACAGGCACUAUGCUGUACAGCAGAUCUCUAGAAUUUACUCAUCUUUAUAACUGAAACUAUAUACCCAUUAAACAACAACUGUCCUUUUCCCCUCCCCCAGCCCCCGGUAACCACCAUUCUCUGCUCUGCUUCUAUGAGUGUGACUAUUUUAGAUGCUUUAUGUAAGUGGGAUCAUAAUGAGAUACCGCCUCACACCUGUUAGGAUGGCUAUCAUCAAAAAAAACACAAAAGACAAGUGUUGGCAACAAUGUGGAGAAAUUGAAACCCUGUAUGUUGUUGAUGGGAAUGUAAAAUGGUGCAGCUGUUAUGGGAAACAGCAUGGAGGUUCCCCCCAAAAAUAAAAAUAGAACUACCAUGGGAUCCAGCAACCCCACUUCUGGGUAUGCACCCAAAAGAACUGAUAUCAGGAUCUCAAAGAGAUGUCUGCUGGCCCAUAUUCACUAAAGCAUUAUUCACAAUAGUCAAAAUAUAGAAACAACCUAAAGGUCCACUGAGGCAUGAAUGCAUAAAGGAAACGUGGCACAUACACAGAAUGGAAUUAUUCAGCCUGUAAAAAGAAGGAAAUCAUACCACAUGUGACAACCAAAUUCCGGUUCAUAUGGAUGAACCCGGAGGACAUCAUGCUAAGUGACAUCAGCCAGUCACAGAAGAAGAUGGGGUCUUUGAAGGAGUAAUUAAGUAAACACGAGGUCACCGCAGUGGGCCCUAAUCCAAUAUUAAUGGUGUCCUUUUAAGAAAAGGAGAGUAGGACACAGACACACACAAAAGAAAAGCCACGGGAAGACACAGGGAGAAGGUGGCCUCCAUGAGCCAGAGAGGCCUCAAAAGAAACCCGCCGCGCCAGCACCCUGACCUCGGACUGCUAACCUCUCCAACGGUGAGAAAGUAGAUCUCGGUUGAUUAAGGCGCCCAGUCUGCUUUACUCCGGGGUGGCAGCCCUGGCAAACGAAACCACCGCUCAUUUUAAUGCAGAACAGCCUUAUUCUCCCCUCCACCGCGCCAGCUCCUGACAGCCCCGCUUGGUAAAUCCUUAACCUCAUUAAGGCUCUCCUCUGAACAAAGGGCCGUUGUCUCAGGACGUCUGCCCGUGAGCGGCACAGGGUCCCCUCAGAGGCUGGGAAAUUCAUUUUUCUUUGAACAAGAUCAAACUCUUUGGCACACCAGUCUCCGUGAGCUGGAAGGUAGCAGGAGAAAGGUCUAUUCUCCCUUCCUAAGAAAUGUCACUUCUUAAGAAGCUGGAAGCGUCUACAGCCAGAUUUUCCUUUGUUCGCGUCAAACGGCGGUUUCCGCCUUCCCAGCGCCUCCGCACGCGGUCCUCGGCGGUCCCCUCGGGGUCACUGAGAGCUUCCUGCGCCGGCCCCCGGGCCGCCUUCCAGCGGGACGACAGGCAUUAAAAUACGGGCAGAUAUCUUCUCUCGGAGAGCCUGAGGGGAGCCGUGCGGCGUCUGCGGACGGGCGCAGCCGAGGGCGCCGCCGAGCGGCCAUCGCGGGGAUCCGGUCCUCCGGGAGACGGCGUGUCACUGAGGGUUCUGAGCAGAGGAGGGAUGUGCUGGAUUUAUGUUCUACUGCGCGGAAAAUAGUGUAUGGGCGGCUGGCGUGGAGGCGGGGAGAGCCCUGGGAGCCUCGCGAUGAGCCGGGGCAGGGGCGCGGGUGGGCGGCGUGGGGCUGCUGUGCAGGGGAAGCUGCCGGCUCUCCACACCUUCUGGCGCUGACGCUGGAAGGACUCGUCGAAGGGAUGCGUGUAGGAUGUGAGUGAGACGGAUCCACGAUGACUUCGAGGUUUGGCCUGAGUGACCAAAGGAUGGAGUCGCCGUGUACGGAGCUGGAUGGGGCCGCGGGUCUCCUGCAGUCUUGUGUGCGUUCAGUGCUGCUCGUCUCCGGGGGAACCACUGCGGACAGGUCCGGGCGGAAGACAGCGCCAUGAACUUUGUGAAGGGUUUAGUAAUGAAACUGAGACCAAGUGGACCAAGAAGCGGUCCCAGGUCCACCGAGUCGAAAGUGGCAGAGACUCUCCAGACUCAGGGAGUCCAUUCGGCUCUCAGGUUCACUGUCUGCGCUGGGCCACAUUCUUUGCCCAGCUGUGUUCUCUGUGCUUCCAUGGCCCAGCCCAGCCCCUCCCUGCUGUUCCCAGAUCAUUGUGAGACAUACGCUGAGGCACAGCCUGCUGUGGAGGAGGCAACCGCCAACUCUUCAUCUCCAGGCCCUUCCGGUCUCUUGACAUCUCUACCGAGUUGUAAACUCAGGAUGCUGUUGACUCCUUCACCUUCGGAGCAAGGCGUGAAGAGGAGGAAAGAUGACAGGAAAAGGAGCAAAAUGUGCUUAUUCCGCCCGUGCUGUCUGAACAUCUUUCUUGGCUGUUGAGUGCCUCCUCUCAUGGAAGAAGCCCACAUGCUGGCUUGUUUUUCUUGUGAGGAAUGUUGGAGGGUUCUUUGAAGGACACUCUCAAUCCUGCCCCCAGACUUCCCUCUGCUCUCUGCUCUGCCGUGUGUAACGCACUCUGGGUAGUUCCCACGCAGCUCUUUCUCCUGUGCCCACCUUCCUUCCCUAGUGUCCACUUGUCCCGUAGAAGACACUGUGCAGGCUUGCCUCCCUCGCCCCCCACCAAAACCUAGGAAGAUCAAGCCAGUGUCCUUGUCCUGCCAUCAGGGGCUAUCGGGGGCAGCCUCUGUCUUCACUGUGUAUGCCUCCAAACUCCUGCGGCCACAUGGAGAUUCUCCAGUCUGGUAGGAGGACUAGUGCACCUCAGUGAACGUCUGUCUGGGGACUAGACGAGCUGUCUUUUUCCCCUCGUGGCAGACACCACACCCCUAGCUCUGAGAGGGUCUCUGGCUGCUUCCUUCACUUGGCUUGGGUAGAGGGACAUUCCAGAGCCCUCUCUACUGACUGACAACUCUCUUUGAAGAGAGCCUCUUUCUUCCACCAGAUUCCCGGCCUCCACUUAGACAGGCUGGAGGUGGGUGAUGUUAAGGGCCCUGUGAUCAGAUUUGGCCACUCCUAAGAAGUCCUGGGGAGGUGUGUCCAGCAUCUCUCUCUUUAGACCUCAUAGUUCUCCUUAGCUGUUGUUCUCGGCUUUGGAUUUCCACUGAAAUUCCGAGACAACAGGAGAUACCUGUUGAAUUAAAUAACCUCCAAACCCAUUCAUUUCUUCGGGCAUGUAAACAUGGAAUCGUAAUUAAAGAAAAUUACUUGUAACAAAAAAAGGAAAAUGGACUUCA
rnacentral:lncRNA from 1 species